UAAACCUCUCUUGAAUGAAUCUCAACAAUCUUAUCAUUAUCCCCUAACCCAAUAGAUGUAAUCAAUUCCAAUGAAUCUUCCAGUCCAUUUUCUUCAUAAACACCUAAAAUCCUCUCAUCAUCUUGCAAUGUACCUAACUUGCAUAAUUGUCCUUCAAUAUCAUAUAAUCUUUUUCUUUCUUUUCUUUUAAAAUCAUUAACUUUCUUAUACAUAAUAUUUCCAUUCUCCAAUAUACCAAU
rnacentral:lncRNA from 1 species